UACAGAGGUCUCAAGCGUUGUUCGGAUUCAUUGGGCGUAAAGGGUGCGUAGGCGGCGCGGUAAGUCGGGGUGUGAAAUCUUGGAGCUUAACUCCGAAACUGCAUUCGAUACUGCGGUGCUUGAGGACUGGAGAGGAGACUGGAAUUCAUGGUGUAGCAGUGAAAUGCGUAGAGAUCAUGAGGAAGACCAGUGGCGAAGGCGGGUCUCUGGACAGUUCCUGACACUGAGGCACGAAGGCCAGGGGAGCAAACGGG
rnacentral:rRNA from 1 species